GUUGACUUUUGUUUAUUGAUAGUAUAAAAGAAGGAUUUUAUCUAAGUCCACCACCGAAAGAUAAGCUUCCCAAGAAUUCUACACAAGGUUUUGUAUUGUUAGGGGCAAUUUCGUAUGGAAAACUGUCAUUUUCUGAGGGGGAGAAUAAAAAUCCAGAAAAGUACCCUGCAUUAUAUCAACUAAUAAUACACAAGGUUCUGUAUUGUUAGUGAUUAAAUGUUUGUUUUAAACCCUGUUGCUGUUGGUUUUUAAUUUAUGAGUAUGCUAUUUUUGAAUUUUUGUUGUUAGAUUUAUUGAUUUCAGAGUUUAGGGUGAUUCAUCAAAUUGAGAAAUAGAUUUUUGGUAUUUCUCUAUAUGUAUACUUGUUCUAUAUCUUAGUGCUGAGUCUCACAAAUAUUCUCAAUUACUUACA